rnacentral:rRNA from 1 species
CUGCCGCUGCCAAAGCGGAGGAAGGAACGGGCAACGGUAGGUCAUUAUGCCCCAAAUGAGCCGGGUUACACCCGGGCUACAAGGGCGGGGCCAAUGGGAUGCCACCCCAAAAGGGGGCGCUAAUCUCCAAAACCUGGUCGUAUUUCGAAUUGAGGGCUGAAACUCCCCCUCAUGAACCUGGAUUCGGUAUUAAUCGCUUUUCAAAAGAGUGCGGUAAAUACUUCCCUGCUCCUUGCACAAC